rfam:Planococcus rifietoensis strain M8, complete genome.
AGGGUGGUAUCCAUCAGGAACUGCACCUGUAAAAAAGCUUAACAACUCAAUAGAUCUGCCUUGAUCUGAAAAACGACAGGGACGGAGAA